AACGAACGCUGGCGGCAUGCCUAACACAUGCAAGUCGAACGAACCCUUCGGGGUUAGUGGCGCACGGGUGCGUAACGCGUGGGAAUCUGCCCUUGGGUUCGGAAUAACAGUUAGAAAUGACUGCUAAUACCGGAUGAUGUCUUCGGACCAAAGAUUUAUCGCCCAGGGAUGAGCCCGCGUAGGAUUAGGUAGUUGGUGGGGUAAAGGCCUACCAAGCCGACGAUCCUUAGCUGGUCUGAGAGGAUGAUCAGCCACACUGGGACUGAGACACGGCCCAGACUCCUACGGAGGCAGCAGUGGGGAAUAUUGGACAAUGGGCGCAAGCCUGAUCCAGCAAUGCCGCGUGAGUGAUGAAGGCCUUCGGGUCGUAAAGCUCUUUUACCCGGGAUGAUAAUGACAGUACCGGGAGAAUAAGACUACCGGCUAACUCCGUGCCAGCAGCCGCGGUAA
rnacentral:rRNA from 1 species